UUACGGCGACAUCACGUUGAAACUCUGGUUCCCAUACGAUCAUCGAAGUUAAGCAACGUCAAGCCAGGCCAGUACCUAGAUGGGUGACCACUCCGGAAUGCCAGGUGCUGUAAG